AGAUGGCGACCGGCGCACGGGUGAGUAACACGUAUCCAACCUGCCGAUAACUCGGGGAUAGCCUUUCGAAAGAAAGAUUAAUACCCGAUGGCAUAAUUAGACCGCAUGGUCUUAUUAUUAAAGAAUUUCGGUUAUCGAUGGGGAUGCGUUCCAUUAGGCAGUUGGUGAGGUAACGGCUCACCAAACCUUCGAUGGAUAGGGGUUCUGAGAGGAAGGUCCCCCACAUUGGAACUGGGACACGGUCCAA
rnacentral:rRNA from 1 species